GAUGAACGCUAGCUACAGGCUUAACACAUGCAAGUCGAGGGGAAACGAUAUUGGAAGCUUGCUUCCGAUAGGCGUCGACCGGCGCACGGGUGAGUAACGCGUAUCCAACCUGCCCAUCACUUGGGGAUAACCUUGCGAAAGUAAGACUAAUACCCAAUGAUAUCUCUAGAAGACAUCUGAAAGAGAUUAAAGAUUUAUCGGUGAUGGAUGGGGAUGCGUCUGAUUAGCUUGUUGGCGGGGUAACGGCCCACCAAGGCGACGAUCAGUAGGGGUUCUGAGAGGAAGGUCCCCCACAUUGGAACUGAGACACGGUCCAAACUCCUACGGGAGGCAGCAGUGAGGAAUAUUGGUCAAUGGGCGAGAGCCUGAACCAGCCAAGUAGCGUGCAGGAUGACGGCCCUAUGGGUUGUAAACUGCUUUUAUAAGGGAUAAAGUGAGUCUCGUGAGACUUUUGCAUGUACCUUAUGAAUAAGGACCGGCUAAUUCCGUGCCAGCAGCCGCGG
rnacentral:rRNA from 1 species